AGCAGAAGUGUGCAGAUCAGGGAUGGGAAGAUUAUCUGAUACGUAUCGAUACACUGACGCGCGUGCACGAUCUGAGUGCACGGGUAGAGAAGCUGCGUGUGAAUGAAAAGUUUGGAAUGAUAUCGCGAUGCAUCGGUUAUUGAAUGUUUGUAUCAAUAAAAUUUGAUCCAUUCAAUAGAAUAUA